rnacentral:lncRNA from 1 species
CAUCCAUGAAUCUCAGCCUUAACAACUGAAGGGUCUUUGCAUAUCAAGUCCCACACUGGAAAGUUCUUCCUUGGCAUCAUAAAGUCCUUCUCUUUCAGCCUCAAACUUGGGCAAUAGUCUCCACUCCCAUCUCCAAGGUAGAUCAUCCUCUUAUCCUCUUCUGAUAUUGAAUCUUGGAUUCUCUUUAUCACUAAACCCUGCAAUCAUUCAAAUAAAAUUACAUUUUACAAUCAUAAGUAUCGGUGGGACCUAGGUCAAAAUUAUUCUUUAUUUUAUAUUUCAAUCAAAUCCAGUAUGCUCAUAUCAGAGAGCAAACAAUAAAUUUUGGUAUUUUUUAAGGCCAAGAAUUAAGGAGACAAGUUCCAUUGCUAUAGGAUUAAUCCAUGACUCAUGAACACUUGAGUCACGUUAGCAGCAAUCUUUGUGAUUAAAAAUGGAAAUAAUAGUGUCUCGUCAGCUAGAGCCAGUUAAGAUCAACUUGAAAACAAUAUCUAGAAACGUGUACUGUUGUAUACAUUUAAGCAAAUUUGUCAUCAUGAUUUAGACAAAUGAUAAAACAAGAUAGAAAAAGAAGUUGUGUAUUUACCUUGCACAUGUUUGGAGGGCACAAAGUGCAGCCAUGGGAAGCUUUGUUGAAGUCAUGGUAAGGAAGAAUCCUUAACCUUCCUUCUUCAUUCACAUAACCGGGGUUAGUAUUCAUCUCUGAGAAAUAUUCCCUUAUUCCCAAAUGCUUCAAAAUAGUCUCAAUGAAAUACGUGUUUGCAUCACUCACAAUCCUCAAAUCACACCUGAAAAAACAAAUGUCACCGUAAAUUUAAUCCAUAUUUACCAAAAAAGAACGUGAUCAUAAUUUUGUAUGAGAGAUGCAUAGUUACGUACCCUAAAGCAUGAGCUACUUUAAUAGCAGGAAUAACUCUGGGGUGCAAGGGAAUCUUAUGCAGAACCUCUUCAAUGUCCUUCAUGCUUUUACCAUGUGAAUGAAGCUCCUUCAUCAUUGUGUCCUUCAAAAACCAAAAACCAAAAAACUCGGUUAUUCAUAUCAUUCAAACCAUGCAUUCUGCAAAGUUAAGUUUAAACAAAAGAGAGUAUAAACCCAAAAAAUGUGACAACAAAAAGGCUUACCAUGAGAGUGUUCCAAGGCAUGGUGGGAAGAAGCUGGUUGAACAAAUCCGUGAAACCCAAUUCGUCGACCACCCAGUUGUCGCUGUCGACAUCCACAAUGGUUUUGUCGAAGUCGAAAACAACCACGAUUCCAGACAUUAUCUGUUUUGGUGAAUGGAAAAAAGAAAGCUUUUUUCUGAAUAAUAAGGCUCUGUUUGGGUGAGUGUACAGUGCUUUCAAGAGUGGUGGUUCUUGGCUUGGUUCUGCAAUGGAAAGAAAAGAGGGUUAUAUUUAUAGUAAUGGUGAAUGAAUAAAGAUUAAAAGAAUCUUAGAUUUCAAAGGAAUAUUACACGGAUAGUUCGUGGUAGCAAAGAUGGAGGCUCAAAAUAAAAACAGAAAUAUUGCGCUUUUAUUUUACCUUCACCGAAUCCCUUUCGGUGCGCCAUAUUUAAAAUUAAAUCUGCACCGUUGGAUGAAAUCAUAUAGAUAGGUGAAAGGAUCGGAGGGUGUGGGUGGAUUGGUCCUAAGAGUAAAACACGGGAAUAAAGGGCAUAUUCGACAGGGAAUUGGAUGCACUUGAGGAGCCUCACCUGAGUGUGUGAAAUCACUUCUUACCAACGCAUACAAUAAUACAUCGCAUGAAUAUUCUGUAUUCAGUUAAUUUCGUCAAUUUCUUUUUUUUUCUGUUAUGAAUUAAUAAUAAAUUAAAAUAAUGUAAUAUAUUGUAAUCAAAUGGUUUUUAUUGAUGAUGUCUUUUGAAAAAUGAUAGAAUAUUACUCGAAAAUUCAAGAUGAUAAAAGUAAAUUGAUAGAGAUAACCAAUUCAGAAAAUAAGUAUCAUGAUGAAAAUAAAAAAUAAAAGUGUGAUUUGGAAGGAUUUUUUUUUAUAUAGUUUUUAUAUUAAAGUAAAAACAAAUAGAUAUAAGUUAGUUUGAUUUGAUAGUAAAUUAUUGAUAUCUAUCAUUCUCAUCACAUAUCAGUUAGACUUAUAUCAACCAAUAUUGAUAGAGUAUCUUUUUAUGUAUGUGAACUCAUUUUUUCAAUUAGCAUUUUUUUUAAAAUUUCUAUAGUGAUAUUUUCUAUCAUCUAACACCAAUUUUUUUUAAUAAUUUAUUAAUUUUUUAUUUCAAUGUGAAAUGAAAAAAAAAAUUAUAUUAAUAGUAACUAUUUUUUUUACCAAUAUUAAAUGAAAGAAAUUUUCAAUUGAUAUUAAUUAAAUAGUUAUAAAAAAUUAUUUAAAAUAUUAUAAAAAUAAUUUUGAUAUUAAUCUAAAUAAUUGUAGAAAACUCAAAAAUUAUGAAGAAACUUUAUCAAUGUUAUUAGAAAUUUGUUUGAAAAUUUAUUACAAAAUUAAUAUUAAUCAAGAUCAACUCAAAAAUUAUUAUAAAUGAUUUAAUAUUUAAAUAAUUUUAUAUUAAUACUAAUUUAAAUAUUUUAUACAAAAUAAUAAUAAAUUUAAAUUACCUUAUUGUGAUAAACGUUUAAAAAAUGAGGUCAAUUUAAAUUUUAUAUAUUUGAUUUUUUUAAAUUAUAAAAUUACUUAUCCAAACAAAGAUUAUGAUAUUUUUUUAAUAUACUUUGAUUUAUUAAAUAUGUUAUGUUGUUACGUUUGGAGUUAUUUUUAACAUAUUAAUGAUAUUUAUUUGAUAUUUAAAUAUAUUAUUUAUACUUAUCCAACUAACAACAUUCAAAUCAUACUCUUCAAAUGAUUCAAGUAAAUUUUUAUUUUUUAUUCGUUCUCCUAAACUUACAUAAAAAGAUAAAUAUCGUGUAAACAAUCUGUUAUUGUUAUGGAAAAAUAAAAGGUAAUUAUUGGUUAAUUAAUUAGGUUAUAGUAAAUAACUAAUUAGUUAAUAUUUUUUUAUGUAAAAUGUUUAUAUUAAGAAGUCAACUUAAUCUUAUAAAAUUUAUGAAAAUUUUGAUAUCUUUAUGUCAUCAUACUUUAGUCCCUCCUAUGCUUUUUUGGAAAAAGAAAAUGUAAGAGAUAAACUAUAUAUUUUUAAAAUUAAUUUUUAUUUAACGAUUUUUUUAAAUGAAAUUAUAUAUUUAAAAAAAAAUAAACUUUAAAUUUAAAGCAAUCAUUAAAAAUCAAUUCAAUUUGUCCCCACUACUUUUUUUUAACAUAAAUAAUAAAAAAAAUUCACAUUAAUAAGUGAUUAACAAAUUUAUAUAAAAGAACAAUAUUUAAUAUAAAAUAUUAAGAUGAUAGAUUUAUAAUUUUCUACUUGUAUAUUAUUUAUUUUACAAAUUUUUAAUAACAGGUAAUGAACUAAUAAAUAUAGAUUGACGUGAAACAUCUGUCUAAUCAGAAACAAUGACAAAGGAGGUUCUUGUUAUAAUUAACAUUUGAUUAUUAUUUUUAUCAUUAGCAUGUGUUUGAUUGUGGUGUGAUCCAAUAUUGAUGUAUUAAUUAAAGUUUUAUUAUUAUUAUUAUUAUUAUUAUUAUUAUUAUUAUUAUUAUUAUUAUUAUUAUUAUUAUUAUUAUUAUUAUUAUUAUUAUUAUUAUUAUUAUUAUUAUUAUUAUUAUUAUUAUUAUUAUUAUUAUGAUUCUGCCACCUUUUUUGGUUCAGUUUUUUAAUCCUCUCAUUCUAAAUCAGAGGUUACAUAAGAACAUGCAUGCAUGUUGUUUUUCUACGCCAUUAAUGCUAGUGCUUCUUUGCAUCACCAUUUUUAUUAAAUUUUUAACUCAAUGCUCUAUGAUUAGAUAUUUUUUAUUUUUUUUAUCUUCUUCCAACUUUCACCACUUCAACCAAUCAACUCAAUUUCAGAUUAAUGGCAUACACAUCUUUUAUUCUAAAAUUAAAUUAUGAAUAAAGUUUCUUUCGGAUAGAUUAAUUGAAUGUUUACUGCAUAAGCAAUCAUAAUUCUUAUCUUAUAAGUUAAUCUUUUAAAAAUAAAUUUUUAAUAUGAUAUAUAAACUUAUUCUGGUCAAAUUUGUUGCACUUAUAUAUCAUUUGUUAUACUUCACAAAUAUUUAAUUUUACAUAAUAUAUAUAUAUAUACAUAUAUAUAUAUAUGUAUAUAUAUUAAUUAAUGUGAGAUGAGAAUGUAGAAAAUUUUACGAUAACUAAAAAUUAAGUCAAUAUUUAUAUUAUAUAUAUAAGUGGGGUUUUUAAAAUACAAACUAAGUUAAAUUUAAAUCUAAACUUAAUUAUUAAAAUAUGAAUUGAAUUUGUAAUUCAUUAUUAGUAUUAAAGAUUAUUUAUGUGAAAGUAAAAAAAUAUUAAGUUAAAUAUGUUUUUUUUGGUUUUUAAGUAUAUAUAACAAAAAUUCAAUUGUCAUUAAAAAAAAUUGAUAAUAACUCAUUUUAAUAGUUUUCUUACUACAAAUAUUUAUUAUAUCUAAAUUUUGAAUUAGAGAUAAAAAUCAAUCUCAUAUAAAAAUUUUAGGAAUGAAAAACAUAUUUAAUCCAAAAUCUUCUAAAAUGUGGUAUUGUAAUUGUUCCAGACAAAAGAGGUGAAGGUAUAGGCGACCUUAAGCCCAUAACACUUAACAUAGUCAAGAGUGAGUGCACCUUACAUGCCUCUAGCCAUAAGUGUAGGCUUUGAGGCUAUUUGUGAUAGUAGCUUAUUCUUCUAUCAUUCGUCGCCCGAUCAUACACACUUUACAGGUAAAUGUGUUUGCAUUUAUUGUUUCCCUAUUGCGCAUCACAUCAUCUGCUCCUUGCAUUUCCCGAUACCCACGUGUCACGCUCUUGUAGUUGACUGCUAUGUGGUGUGAUAAGACCAUAUUACCUCAGGUAAAAUUUCUACCCAUCUUGUCUUAGUCGUUCCUAACUUCUUUACCAAACCUGGUAAAAUUAAUUUAUUUGCUGCUUCUACUUGUCCGUUUGACUGAGGAUGCUCCACAAAUAUAAAUAUCCGUUGAAUCCCCAAAUCCUUACACAUGCGUCUUAACUUUUGACUUGCAAACUGUUUUCCAUUAUCUAACACUAGCUCCCUAGGCACACCAAAUCGGCAAACAAUUGAUUUCCACACAAACUUAGAAUUUAUUUUUUUGUUGUAAUCGUUGUUAAUAGCUCCACUUCUACCCAUUUGGUGAAGUAUUUAAUGGCCACCACUAUAAACUUGAAUUGUCGUAUGGACAUCGGGAAAGUACCCAAUAUGUCGAUUCCCCAUUUAUAAAAAGGCCAUGGGAAAAUUAACGAAUACAAACGUUCUGCUGGGACCUUUAUCUCAUUUGAGUGUCGCUAACAUUUAUCACACUUCUUCUCAUACCAUAAACAGUUAUUUCUUAACGUAGACAAGAAAAACCCCGCCCUUAACACUUUUACUGCCAAGGAUCGACCUCCAAUAUGCCUAACGCAAACACCUUCAUGAACUUCAUGCAUUAUCCUUUCUUUUUUCAGCUCGCCGACACACCUCAAUAGUGGUGUCAAACUCCUUGGAUUAGAGUAUAUCUUGCCACAUUAUUCCUCAAAGUAUUCACUGCUUCACUGUCUGUUGGCUCCUUCCCUUCUCUAAACCAGUUUAAAUACAUAUCCAUCCAGUUAUGCUCACUAUGUACAUCCAUCAUCCUAUAUCCAUCCGGUCCUCCAUAAAUCGACUUUUGAGUCCUAAUAUUUUUAAUGUGGUCAUUCAGAUUUUGUUUCCCAUUGAAGGAGUCGAUUUUAGGGAACAUGUAAUUUUGCGGAAUCGACUCACUCAAAAUUUCCUUCGAAAAGGGCUGAAAAGCUGGUUCUACUUCCUCCUCCAAGCGGCCAUUCGUGUUGCGGUCAUCCAUCUGUCUCUGAAGCUCCUCGUUUCGCCUCUACAACUGCUCUUGCACCCUUAUUGAAUCCUCCAUCCUUAAUCUUGCCUCCUCAUGUGUCCUUCGAAAUUCCUCCGCACGCUCAUCAUUUUGUCUUCUCAUUAUCUCGAUCAUUUCCAUCAAUAUCUGGGUUGUAUUGGACGGAAGGGCUCCAUUCGCCUCUUCCUAUGCUACCACUCGUCGUGUUGCUCUCAUUCUGUUUUGAAUCCUGAAUUUGAUGGUGCGGGUGUGAUUUUAUUUGUCCCACGGUGGGUGCCAAAAUGUUUCAGACAAGAGGGGUAAAGGUAUAGGCGACCUUAAGCCCAUAACACUCAAUAUAGUCAAGAGUGAGUGCACCCUUAACUAUUAUUUAAAAGAUGUUGCUUCUUGUUAGGGCCUCCUCUAGUAUAUAUUGAUAGAAUCCACCAUAAUCCUCCUGAUUCUGCAUUCCCUAACGUAUGUCAAAGUAACGUCAUAUUGCCUUGUGGUUCAGAAACCGAUCUUCUCAUUAUAUAGCCGAAUCUAGACUCAUCGCCCUACAUGCCCAGUCUCAGGUGUAAGCCAUUAAGACUAUUAUUAAGUUAUCAUUCGACCAAGUCUUCACUCAUUAUAUAAUCAGGUCCGGACCUAUCACCUUACAAUAAUCGUUUUGGAUUUUCUGUCUUAUAAAUCAUGCUUUAAAAUGUAUAUGGAAAAGAUAAAAAAUAAUUAAGAAUUUGAUUUUUCAAAAGUGACUUAUUGCUACUAAUUAUUUUUUGUCAAACAUAAUUAUUAACAUUGACUUGGAUAAUAAGGUCAGACAAGGUGAACAUUUGUCUUUCAAUGUAGGUUAAUUAUCUCAUAUUUAAAGUGACUAAGGAUGAUAUUAGACUGCUAAAUUAAUUCAUUAUUCCAUCUCUUUUUCAUCUACUAUACUUAAAGAUGGAUUCAGAGUCUACCAGUUAGUCCUCCAAAAAUAAAUAAUAAAUAAAUAAAUAAAUUUAAAUAUAAUUUUUGUGAUCAAUACUGUAAUAAUUAAUGACUGGACACAUAAACAUGGGGUUAAUGAUUAGUUAAGCAUCCUUGACGUAACCUAAAGUGUUCUUUGGUAUGUCUGCGGAACACCACCAACAUUUCUGGUCAAUCAAGAUUCUAGUCAAAUGUUUUCCACAGUAAUACAAUGUUCAGAGCAUAAAAAAUUUCCCAAAGAUGUAUAGAAAACAUGUAUUGGUAUUUGAUAGAAGUUUCAGUGGUCCACAACUUAAGACCAAUUCCACCAUUAACAUUGGCAACUUUAGUAUUGGUUUGGUGAAGGUUAAUUGGAAAAAAAAAGCUUAAAAGUUACUAUGAUACAUUCUAAACUAAGAAGUGUUUAUGGCCGAAGUGGUAGGACUUUGGGCAAAGCCUCCAAACCAGACAGUGACAGAGUCUGAAGCUUGCAAUCAGAGGUAAUGAAGGGAGAAUUGUUCUCCAUUGAUACUUUGCUGAUCAAGUGCAGCAAAACUUGUUCAAGUUCUUCUCCAUCACUCCAUCCAUGAAUCUCAGCCUUAACAAGUGAAGGGUCUCUGCAUAUCAAGUCCCACACUGGAAAGUUCUUCCUUGGCAUCAUAAAGUCCUUCUCUUUCAGCCUCAAACUUGGGCAAUAGUCUCCACUCCCAUCUCCAAGAUAGAUCAACCUCUUAUCCUCUUCUGAUAUUGAAUCUUGCAUCCUCUUUAUCACUAAACCCUGCAAUCAUUCAAAUCAAAUAACAUUUUACAAUCAUAACAUAAUUGAACAUAAUUUUUUAUUUAUUAUGAACUAUAUUGGUGGGGCCUAGGUCAAAAUUGUUCUUUAUUUUAUAUUUCAAUCAAAUCCAGUAGGCUCAUAUCAGAGAGAAAACCAGGAUGGCAUGUUUGGUUGGUUAAGAAAAAAUUUGGUAUUUUUUAAGGCCAAAAAUUCAGGAGACAAGUUCCAUAUCUAUAGGAUCAAUUCAUGACUCAUGAACACUUGAGUAACGUUAGCAGCAAUCUUUAUGAUUAAAAAUGGAAAUAAUAGUAUCCCAUCAGCUAGAGCCAGUUAAGAUCAACUUGAAAACAAUAUCUAGAAACGUGUAUUGUUGCCAACUGUUGUAUGCAUUUAAGCAAAUUUUUCGUCAUGAUUUAGACAAAUGAUAAAACAAGAUAGAAAAAGAAGUUGUG